UACGUAGGGUCCGAGCGUUGUCCGGAAUUAUUGGGCGUAAAGGGCUCGUAGGCGGUCUGUCGCGUCGGGAGUGAAAACUCAGGGCUCAACCCUGAGCGUGCUUCCGAUACGGGCAGACUAGAGGUAUGCAGGGGAGAACGGAAUUCCUGGUGUAGCGGUGGAAUGCGCAGAUAUCAGGAGGAACACCGGUGGCGAAGGCGGGUCUCUGGGCCGUAACUGACGCUGAGGAGCGAAAGCGUGGGGAGCGAACAGG
rnacentral:rRNA from 1 species